AGCAACAAAUGCCCUGCUUCCAGGAAAAGCCUCUAAGCAUCAGGUAACAUCAAAUCGUACCCCAAACCGACACAGGUGGUCAGGUAGAGAAUACCAAGGCGCUUGAGAGAACUCGGGUGAAGGAACUAGGCAAAAUGGUGCCGUAACUUCGGGAGAAGGCACGCUGACACGUAGGUGAAGUGAUUUACUCAUGGAGCUGAAGUCAGUCGAAGAUACCAGCUGGCUGCAACUGUUUAUUAAAAACACAGCACUGUGCAAACACGAAAGUGGACGUAUACGGUGUGACGCCUGCCCGGUGCCGGAAGGUUAAUUGAUGGGGUCAGCGCAAGCGAAGCUCCUGAUCGAAGCCCCGGUAAACGGCGGCCGUAACUAUAACGGUCCUAAGGUAGCGAAAUUCCUUGUCGGGUAAGUUCCGACCUGCACGAAUGGCGUAAUGAUGGCCAGGCUGUCUCCACCCGAGACUCAGUGAAAUUGAACUCGCUGUGAAGAUGCAGUGUACCCGCGGCAAGACGGAAAGACCCCGUGAACCUUUACUAUAGCUUGACACUGAACAUUGAGCCUUGAUGUGUAGGAUAGGUGGGAGGCUUUGAAGCGUGGACGCCAGUCUGCGUGGAGCCGACCUUGAAAUACCACCCUUUAAUGUUUGAUGUUCUAACGUGGACCCGUAAUCCGGGUUGCGGACAGUGUCUGGUGGGUAGUUUGACUGGGGCGGUCUCCUCCUAAAGAGUAACGGAGGAGCACGAAGGUUGGCUAAUCCUGGUCGGACAUCAGGAGGUUAGUGCAAUGGCAUAAGCCAGCUUGACUGCGAGCGUGACGGCGCGAGCAGGUGCGAAAGCAGGUCAUAGUGAUCCGGUGGUUCUGAAUGGAAGGGCCAUCGCUCAACGGAUAAAAGGUACUCCGGGGAUAACAGGCUGAUACCGCCCAAGAGUUCAUAUCGACGGCGGUGUUUGGCACCUCGAUGUCGGCUCAUCACAUCCUGGGGCUGAAGUAGGUCCCAAGGGUAUGGCUGUUCGCCAUUUAAAGUGGUACGCGAGCUGGGUUUAGAACGUCGUGAGACAGUUCGGUCCCUAUCUGCCGUGGGCGCUGGAAGACUGAGGGGGGCUGCUCCUAGUACGAGAGGACCGGAGUGGACGCAUCACUGGUGUUCGGGUUGUCAUGCCAAUGGCACUGCCCGGUAGCUAAAUGCGGAAAAGAUAAGUGCUGAAAGCAUCUAAGCACGAAACUUGCCCCGAGAUGAGUCUUCCCUGAGACUUUGAGUCUCCUGAAGGAACGUUAAAGACGAUGACGUUGAUAGGCCGGGUGUGUAAGCGCAGCGAUGCGUUGAGCUAACCGGUACUAAUGAACCGUGAGGCUUAACCUUACAA
rnacentral:rRNA from 1 species